AUUGAACGCUGGCGGCAGGCCUAACACAUGCAAGUCGAACGAGUGGCGGAGGGGUGAGAAAUGUCUGGGAAACUGCCUUAUGGAGGGGGAUAACUACUGGAAACGGUAGCUAAUACCGCCUACCAUUCGAUGUGCCCAGAGGGGAUUAGCUAGUAGGUGGGGUAAAGGCUCACCUAGGCGACGAUCCCUAGCUGGUCUGAGAGGAUGACCAGCCACACUGGAACGGAGACACGGGCCAGACUCCUACGGGAGGCAGCAGUGGGGAAUAUUGCACAAUGGGCGAAAGCCUGAUGCAGCCAUGCCGCGUGAAUGAUGAAGGCCUUCGGGUUGUAAAGUACUUUCAGCGGGGAGGCGUUACCCGCAGAAGAAGCACCGGCUAACUCCGUGCCAGCCGCCGCGGUAAUUC
rnacentral:rRNA from 1 species